ACGGGGCUUAUGUUCCAAUGA
rnacentral:snRNA from 1 species